CUUGCUUCGGCAACAUAUACUAAAAUUGAAACGAUACAGAGAAGAUAAGCAUGGUCCCUAAGCAAGAAUAUAGGGUGUUACAAAAAGGUAAGGUCAAACUUU